rnacentral:rRNA from 1 species
UACGUAGGGUGCGAGCGUUGUCCGGAAUUAUUGGGCGUAAAGAGCUUGUAGGCGGUCUGUCGCGUCUGCUGUGAAAGUCCGGGGCUCAACCCCGGAUCUGCCGUGCCGACUGUCAAACUCGAGGACUGUAGAGGCAGACGGAAUUCCGGGUGUAGCGGUGGAAUGCGUAGAGAUCCGGAGGAAGACCGGUGGCGAAGGCGGUUCUCUGGGCAUGUUCUGGACGCUGAGGAGCGAAAGUGUGGGGAGCGAACAGG